CCACGCUGCUUGGAAUUGCACAGGUUGGCAGAGACCCUGGGAGAAUGAAACACUAAACAUCUCAAACCCAGGAAGGACAGAAAUUAGAAACUCUGUUUUUAUCUGGGGUCAGUGCAUUUGAAUUACGUUUCAGGAGCAUGGCAACAUUUUCUUCUGAAGGAAAAGACAGACAACAAAAUUGGGGUAGAAAAACGUGAUUUGCAUUAAUUUUACCAUUUCAGUAUAUGUUAUUUAAAUUGGUAUUUUGUUACUCUGAGGGGGAAAAGAGGAUUGCCGUGAGAUCCACAGGUGAUUAACACCCUUGCCAGAAGCACAUUCUGGAUGGAUGAAAUGGCAGAAGCCACCAUGUUGCCAGAGCUUUAAGCAGGAUUCUGCCAAAGGAGAUUCCAAAAGGAGGACAUGCCUGGGGAAUAAUCUUUGCACAGAGUCUCUACUUCCAACCCAGCAGGCUUGGUUUUCCCCUCCUCUUCCUCCUGCCCAAGAAGGUUACACGUUCCUGCAAAAAUACUUAAGGACAUGUAACUAAAACAACCCAAAAUAGCACCCUGAGCUGUACAGUUCUGCCUGCCCUGUAACCCAGGAGGAACAAGGAUGUGAGUUCUGUGUGCAGCUGACCUCACCUGGGCUUGACACGGUCAUGAACCUCGCACCCCAGCACAGAGGAUAAAGAUACAGAUCACUCCAGGAAGUGGGAUUACUGUCCUGCAAAACCUGAAAGGAAGGGCUGAGGACAAUGACCAUCCUGACAGGCUUCUUUCGGAUAGCAGGCAGAAAAUGUGGCUUUAAAAGAGGAGCUCGGACAGGAAGCAGCAAAGUUCCAGGAGGAUUUCUGCGUCAAGCAGGAGAACAGCUGGCUUCUUGAAGUGUGAGCUUCAGAGAUCCCUAAAACCCUUGGCUGCACAGUUGGAGCAGUCAGGACUGAGGAACCAGAACCCCAGCACUUGCACUUCGAGUCAGGGCUGAGCUGCACAAGCCUCUUCAGAGUGGGAAGAGAAAUCUCUAUGCUCAGCACCCUAAGGAAAGCCGCAUGGCAGCCCGAGCUGCGCCUGCGGAGAUUGCGGGAUGCUGUAUCCACUGUACACGUUGUCCUCCUGCAGUGCGGCGGGGUUUCUUUGGAAAAUACGUCUGAAUUAGCGCCGAGGCCAGUGGUAACAAGAAAAUCAUUUUUUCCUAGUCUGACGGGAUGCCUGUGGGCAUACUGAGCUAGCAGAGGAACCGAACGGGCUCAUGGAGCAGGGACAGAGCUGCGGUGGCCACGGCAGGGAGGUGGUGAUGGUGCUGCAGCCGCAGGCUCGGCGCACAGCCCCUUUCCCUGGCACCCGCUGCUGGGAGGGAAAGGAGAGGGGGUGGCUGUCCCGGGACACCUCCACAGGCCGGGAACACCGCAGGAUCGCGGGCGGGCGACGCUGGGCUGGGCCACCACGAGGUGGCAGCCGGAGCCCAGCGAUGAGGCAGCCCCAGGUCCGGCCCGGGCGCUCCUGCCCGGCGGCGCCGAGCUCCGUGCGCCGGCGUGGGCAGCCGGGCGGGGGCCGCAGGGGCUGCCACAGUGACCCGAAAAGAUUCAUUAAAAACAAAAACAAAAACAAAAAAGCAGGGAGAGCCACAAUUAUCGAGUAACCAGUAUGGUACCGGCAGACUGGGAAAGCCCCUAAAAAUCUUGUGAAGUGUGGAAGGAGUUCGUCGUUCUGUGAGAGGACAAGUGUACGGCACACCUGCCGCCCUUCUGCAGCCCUUCCUUCGGCUAACAAAUAAUGACCUCUCUCCCCGAAGCAGCUGAAAGGCCUUGUGGAUAACCCCCUUUCCUGGCCCUGCACCGGUUCGUUCAAAAAUUGUUUGCGUAACUGCUUCACAUAUUUGAGAUAAAAAUCAGAGCAGUUAUUUUCCGUUCACUUCUACUGAGAUGGAUGGGGCAGCUCCUGUUCCAAGUGUUCUGCGUGACUGAGCCAUAGGAUCACAGGAUGCCUUGAGUUGGAAGGGGCCUUAAUGAUCACCUGCUUAACCCCCUGCCAUUAACAGGCACAAACAGGUGCUUCUUUUGGGGUUGGGGUCCCCCCCAACCCCUAGGAUACACUUUCUAUCCUAAGACACUGUUCCUUUCCCCCACAGAGGCUUUGCUUUUGUGACUGUUCAUGAAGGACAGUGGAACAGGAAUAACAUGAGCUGCUGGAAGCCAGCCUGUUACAGUUUGGGAAUGUGUGAUCCAGUGUGCAUGGCUCAUAAAUCAGGUCCAUAAAAUGAUCACAGGGAAAAAAAACAAAAAAACCAACCCCAAACCAAACCCCAUCCUCUUCCUAGAAGGAACAGCACGGCACUGGGGUAGUGUUUUGCAGGGCUGUUACAGCAGCAGCAGGUAAAUUAAACCUGAAUCUGGCAGAUAAAACAAGUGGGCUGAGCCCUCCAGUGCAUCUCCCAAAGGUUCAGGAACAGCAGCCACAGCUUUCCCCCCACCUCUAUGUAAGCCCAGGGUGUAGAUAGGGCUUCUUGGGGAGACCAGAGACAUCCCUAACCCCACAGUUCAGAUCCUCACCCUGAGGGGGCUCGUUGGUUCGUGGGAAUAGGAGAGCUGUAACCCUUGGCCCCACUGGAAAUGAUGGCACACCAGGAUGCAGCUUUCCAUGCUCCCUGAUUCAUGAUCGGUGGUGACUCACGGCUCUGUGCUCCCUUUGGAUGCUGCUCAGUGUCGCUCCAAGGGGCUCAUUCUCAAGUGGUAUUUUUGCUCAGCAUGCAAGUAGUUUAAUUUUUAAACCAACCACUGCCCCCAGCUUUACUGAGCAAAGCUUUAAACAAAGCUUUCUUAAUUUGUCAGAGCAAGCAGGACGACAGAGCUAAAAGGAACCUUGUCUCAUUUCCUCUUCUGCCAGUGAGUAAGAGCUGACCCCAGACAGACAGACACAGACAGGCAGGGCUGACACGUUGUGAGGGGGGGCUGUGUGGCUGUUCCAAGAGCUGCCCUGCCCUUGCCCCAGACUGCAUCAAGGUGUACUGAAUACGAACAUUUAAGAGCAGGAGCGCUGCUAAAACAAAGUCUGUGUGUGUUACCAUGUGACCACUGAUCCAACCAUUAAACUUCUUCCACACAGCAGUUACUGGAUUUUGAACUCCAACAGCCCAAAAUAAAUCCAGACAAAAAGACAUCCAUUAAUUCCGAAAUGUAAAUGACUUUAUAUUACUUUAUUAAAUAGCCAAAUCUAAAGAACAGUAAAAAAUAUGAAAACAUGCAUCAUUUGGUGUUCUUAAAAAACUGUUGUCCAAAAUAAAGACUGUUAGAAAAAUUAAACAAGUUUAGCCCCAAUAUCCCUUCUGCUCUCCACAUAAAAUGUCUGGUAGUUAUAAAUACUGUUCCAGCUCCUUAAGCAAAGUUUAACCUUGUGUACAUUAGUAAUUCUAUUACAGGUGGUUGGAUUUUUCUUCACAUUGCUUCUGUAAACGUGAUCAAUUUAAAAAAGGCCUUGUUAUCAAGCUUAAGGAACUAUGGUUUUCCUGUACAGUGAGUAUAAAUAGGAAGAUCCUAGAUUUUCCUGCCAUUCUAAUCAGCACUCCCUUUACUGAAACAUUAAAGAUUUCAAUUAGUAU